rnacentral:rRNA from 1 species
UACGAAGGGGGCUAGCGUUGCUCGGAAUCACUGGGCGUAAAGGGCGCGUAGGCGGCCGAUCAAGUCAGGCGUGAAAUUCCCGGGCUCAACCUGGGGGCUGCGCUUGAUACUGAUUGGCUUGAAUGCGGGAGAGGAUAGUGGAAUUCCCAGUGUAGAGGUGAAAUUCGUAGAUAUUGGGAAGAACACCGGUGGCGAAGGCGGCUAUCUGGCCC